rnacentral:rRNA from 1 species
UACGGGGGGGGCAAGCGUUGUUCGGAAUUACUGGGCGUAAAGGGCGCGUAGGCGGCCUGCUAAGUCGAACGUGAAAUCCCUGGGCUCAACCCAGGAACUGCGUCCGAUACUGGUUGGCUUGAAUCCGGGAGAGGGAUGUGGAAUUCCAGGUGUAGCGGUGAAAUGCGUAGAUAUCGAGAGGAACACCUGCGGCGAAGGCGGGUUGCUGGGCUGACACUGACGCUGAUGCGCGAAAGCUAGGGGAGCGAACGGG